rnacentral:rRNA from 1 species
UACAGAGGUCUCAAGCGUUGUUCGGAUUCAUUGGGCGUAAAGGGUGCGUAGGUGGCGCCGUAAGUCAGGUGUGAAAUUUCGGAGCUUAACUCCGAAACUGCAUUUGAUACUGCGGUGCUUGAGGACUGGAGAGGAGACUGGAAUUCACGGUGUAGCAGUGAAAUGCGUAGAUAUCGUGAGGAAGACCAGUGGCGAAGGCGGGGUCUCUGGGCAGUAACUGACGCUGAGGAGCGAAAGCGUGGGUAGCAAACAGG